rnacentral:rRNA from 1 species
CCGAACUACCAGGUCUUGACAUCCCAAUGACAUCCCUAGAGAUAGGGCUUUACCUUCUUGGUACAUUGGUGACAGGUGGUGCAUGGUUGUCGUCAGCUCGUGUCGUGAGAUGUUGGGUUAAGUCCCGCAACGAGCGCAACCCUUGAUCUUAGUUGCCAGCAUUAGGUUGGGCACUCUAAGGUGACUGCCGGUGACAAACCGGAGGAAGGUGGGGAUGACGUCAAAUCAUCAUGCCCCUUAUGACCUGGGCUACACACGUGCUACAAUGGAUGGUACAAAGGGCAGCAAAACCGCGAGGUUAAGCGAAUCCCAUAAAACCAUUCUCAGUUCGGAUUGUAGGCUGCAACUCGCCUACAUGAAGCUGGAAUCGCUAGUAAUCGCGGAUCAGCAUGCCGCGGUGAAUACGUUCCCGGGCCUUGUACACACCGCCCGUCACACCACGAGAGUUUGUAACACCCGAAGUCGGUGGGGUAAC